rnacentral:rRNA from 1 species
UACGUAGGGGCCGAGCGUUGUCCGGAGUUAUUGGGCGUAAAGCGCGCGCAGGCGGCUUGGCGCGCCCGACGUGAAAGCCCCGGCUUAACCGGGGAGAGUCGUCGGGUACGGCCAGGCUUGAGGGCGGGAGAGGUUGGUGGAAUUCCCGGUGUAGUGGUGAAAUUCGUAGAUAUUCGGAGGAACACCAGUGGCGAAGGCGGCUCACUGGCUCGAUACUGACGCUGAGGUGCGAAAGCGUGGGGAGCAAACAGG